AGACACAGGGGAUUCUUGUAAAUCGCCGAACAAGGACAGAAGGCUGAAAAUCACUUCACCACAUAUCCACUAUAACACAAAGAUGAAGCCAUAAACUUUAGCCAACAACAAACUUUCUAUCGAUUUCCACAAGCUGUCAAGAUCAUUUUCUAGGAUUACAGUGUUCCCCACAUAGACCACGUAGUGAUGAUAAUCACCACAUGGAACACGCACAAAAAAUAUAACAACGCAAGUUAGUAGUUGUUUAUGCUGAGAGUCGCUGAGAAAUCUAAUUUUUACUAUUUUUGGGCUACCUGUGAUCUCUUAUGCAAUAUGACAAGGAACGCCUGCUUAAUUUUGCUAGCUGAUCAACUAAUGUUAAAAUGCCCGAAGGACCAGAGCUAAAUAAAGCAGCACGAUUCGUCAACGAUGUCUGCAAAGGCAGGGUGUUUAAUGGGAAGAUCGUAAAGUCUGCAGUUAAUCACAAAAACCCAGAGAUAAAACAUGGCUUCAAAGACUACACUAUACAAGCAGAGUCUAGAGGAAAGGAAAUGGCUCUUUUAUUGUCAUCUUUGCAAUCCGAAGAAAAGGAAAAUGUCAAGAAGAAGGUCCAAGAAGUUAAAAAAUUGCGAAUUUUGUUUCGAUUUGGUAUGAGCGGGAAAUUUGAGUUUAAAAAGCCAUCAGAGAAACAC